GUGCCAGCCGCCGCGGUAAAACGUAGGAGCCAAGCGUUAUCCGAAUUCACUGGGCGUAAAGCGCGUGCAGGCGGCCGGGUAAGUUGGCUGUGAAAUCUCCUGGCUCAACUGGGAGAGGCCGGUCAAGACUAUUCGGCUCGAGGACGGUAGAGGAAGGUAGAAUUCCCGGUGUAGUGGUGAAAUGCGUAGAUAUCGGGAGGAAUACCCGUGGCGAAAGCGGCCUUCUGGACCGGACCUGACGCUCAGACGCGAAAGCCAGGGGAGCGAACGGGAUUAGAAACCCGUGUAGUCC
rnacentral:rRNA from 1 species